UUUACAAAGAACUCAAGCAAAUCAGCAAGAAAAAUAGAAACAACCCUAUUAAAAAGUGGGAAAAAGCUUUCGGUUUUCGGCUCAGAGGAGACCAAGGUGCAACUUUCUUCGGUCGUCCCAAAUCCGGGUUCAUCCGACACCAGCCACCUCCACCAUGCCGCCUAAGUUCGACUCCAAUGAGAUCAAAGUCGUAUACCUGAGGUGUACUGGCGGCGAAGUCGGUGCCACGUCUGCCCUGGCCCCCAAGAUCGGCACCCUGGGUCUGUCUCCAAAAAAGGUUGGUGAUGACAUCACCAAGGCAACUGAUGACUGGAAGGGUCUGAGGAUUACAGUGAAACUAACUAUUCAGAACAGACAGGCCCAGAUUAAAGUGGUACCUUCUAACUCUGCCCUGAUCAUCAAAGCCCUCAAGGAACCACCAAGAGACAGAAAGAAGCAGAAAAACAUUGAACACAACGGAAAUAUCACUUUUGAUGAGAUUUUCAAUAUUGCCAGACAGAUGCAGCACCGAUCGUUAACCAGAGAACUUUCUGGAACCAUUAAAGAGAUUCUGGGCACUGCCCAGUCUGUGGGCUGCAAUUUUGAUGGCUGCCACCCACAUGACAUCAUAGAUGACAUCAACAGUGGUGCAGUGGAAUGCCCAGCUAGUUAAAAAGUACAAAGGAAAAUAUUUCAAUAAAGGAUCAUUUAACAC